CUAUAACACGAAAAAAAAAAAAAAAACAAUAACGAAAUGUCAACAUAUUCCAACUACAGUCGAAAUAAUAGUAUGUAGGUACACGUUUUACUUGUAAAUAUCGAACGGGUAUAACGUUAACACGUGUAAACAGAUAUUAUAUGCAGAAAAUCUAUAAGUUUUGAAUAUUUCAACAUCUCGUGCACGGUACAUAAUGUAUUCGUGCACGGUGUUUUACAAACCAGCAUAUUAUGCGUACCGGCUGCACCCGAAGGGCGUUGCCGCGUGAAUUCGAACACAUUUCGCGUAAUUAAAUGUAAUUAACUAUUUUUCGGGGUUAAAAAAAAAAAAUUAAAAAAAAACUCGGAAUUCAAUUUUAACGAAUCAAUAUAGGUAAUUUGCAUUUUGACGUUUAUAAAUAAUGUUUGAACAUAAGUUUUCAACACUUUAUAACAAUAGGUUGU